GCGGAGGGCCGGAUGGUCGCGUCGGGGGCAACCCCGUCGAGGAAAGUCCGGACUCCACAGGGCAACGGUGCCGGGUAACGCCCGGCGGGGGCAACCCCAGGGACAGCGCCACAGAGAACAGACCGCCCCGGUCGGCCCGCAUGGGCUGCUUCUUCGGAAGGGCCGGGGUAAGGGUGAAACGGUGCGGUAAGAGCGCACCGCGGGACGGGCAACCGGACCGGCAUGGCAAGCCCCACCGGGAGCAAUGCCGAAUAGGGACUUCACGCGGGAUGCCUUGGUAUCACCGCAGGGCCGUCCUGGCCCGGAAGUCCGGGUUGGCAGCUAGAGGCCACGGGCAACCGUGGUCCGAGAUGAAUGAUCAUCGAACCGGGGCAACCCGGGGAACAAAAUCCGGCUUACAGGCCCUCCGCGCAU
rnacentral:RNase_P_RNA from 1 species